UUCUAUCUUUCUUAGUAACUUUACAUAUUCAUCUAAAAAAGAUAAACUUUUUGUAUAUAUUGUUUCUUAACUACUCAACACUUAGAUUCUUAACGAGCAAAGAUGCCAAAUAUUAGGUAGGAAGUCUCUUGGUCGGAAUUUCUCACCAUUUAGCCAACACUUUUCUAGAUUUUUCUUUUUAUCAUGCUUUUGGAAAUUGAAUUCAAAGCCUCUUGAGCUUUGUUUGGGUGCACUUUGUUUCUUAUCUGAUGACUGCUAAGAAGCCUGGAACUUUAAGUGACUGGGUCAAAAUUCUCAUCAGUAGCUAACUGGUUGCUGGUUGCAGCAAUCAAGUUAUGUUGGCUUCAUUAUACAGGUAAAUUUGAGAAAGUUAAUUAGUGCUUUUGUGAGUUAAAAACUGUUCAUACCUAAUUGUGGCUCUUCCCCAGAAGGUUUUCCUUUUAAUUUGAUUGUUUUCUGGUUCUCUAUGCACUUUCUUUUGUUGUUAUCUCCAAAUGCACUUGUUUGUAAAGAAAAGGAUAUACUUACAACACUCUUGUUGGUCUAUCCCAUUUUUUCCUUAAAGCUAAUGUGGCACAUGGUAACCUUGGAAUCUUUUCUUCAAUCUAAUUCUAUUGAAAUCAGCAUACACAGCUGAUCUGUAGCAGUAGGCCAACUUUGAUUGCCUCAGCAUGUCUUCCAAGUCAUCAUGUAAUACAUUUGGAUUCUUGCUUUGUUUUCUUGGUGCAAUCGUUGCACUGAUAUGCAGUUUGAAAAUGCUUGUUUGCAGAAUGUUAAAUUCCUAAUGCUUGUGUGAGAAAGCUUAGAUGGUUUUGUACAAAAUUUGCUCCUGAGUGAAGCUCGUCUUUUCUCAGAUCAACAGACUGGUAUGAUUGUCAGCUCAGAUACAGUGAUCUCAGGUACAAGUCUUUACAACAACAAAGCAGAGGAAUGGAAGGGAGGACAACUGAGUUCAGAUACAAACAAACAGUUCUUGUUGGAAAUGGGCAGUGAAGAAAGCCAUUAUUCAGCAGCGAUACACUAAGAUGGCAUGUCAUGGCGGUGAACUGUAGCAGAUGGCUAUAAUCAUCAAUGCAAUGAUCAGAACCAAAAGGAGUGUGAUGGCAUCACCCCAUUAUGAGAUGAUCCCAGGCAGCAGCAACACCUCAUUGUGGUGGAGGGAAAAAGGGAGAAGAGGAAGGCAGAGAAGAAAAUGAUGGCUUGUUGGGACCUCACUGCUGCUUGCGGUGUGCAGAAUUAAUGGCUUCUCAUUGUCCUCUCUUUUAUGAAGGAAUCUUCUGUUGGUCAACUUCUAUGAAUUGGCUAAAUGUCACUAUGUCCCUUCACACAAGCAACAAAUAGUCGUCUGUUAGAAGAAAAAGAGAAGACAAUAUAUCCAAAGCAAAGCCAGGGGACAAGAAAACAAAGCCAAGGCUGUCUGGUAGCCUGAGGAAGGAACUGAGCAAAGCUUGUGAAGUUUGGUUGCCAUCCAAUUUCUGCACAAGUAUUUUUGAGUUGCUCAUCCUCUUCCCCAGAGGACCAACAGUUCCCGAUCGAAAUAUCUGAGCUACAUGCACAAAACAGUGUUUUAUUCUUCAGAAGGCAAUCAUCACUUGCCUGCAUGAUGGACAUCAGGAUAUGGUAGCAACAUCAUGAAACAAGAAUCAUGAUCCAGAUCAUUGAUCUAACAGAUGGAUAGAAAGAAAAAUUACGUCAUAUGGAGAUAUUAUAUCGUAAGAACUGAUCUUCAAAAAUUGCAGAAAAUUUGAACCUGAAGCUUCUUCAUAACUGUAACUGAAAGGGAAGCUGCAUCCUGAAUGGUGAAAGUUCAACAUGAGAAGUGAUGAAAUUAUCAUCAGCUUGUCGAGAUAUUAUGGAAAAAGCAACAGGAAGGAAGUGAAAAA